rnacentral:rRNA from 1 species
CCCUUAGAUGUUCUGGGCCGCACGCGCGCUACACUGAAUGGAUCAACGUGUUUUCCCUUCCCGAGAGGGACGGGUAACCCGCUGAACCCCAUUCGUGGUAGGGAUCGGAGCUUGCAAUUGUUCUCCGUGAACCAGGAAUUCCCAGUAAGCGCAAGUCAUAAGCUUGCGUUGAUUACGUCCCUGCCCUUUGUACACACCGCCCGUCGCUACUACCGAUUGAACGGUCCGGUGAAAUCUCGGGACGGCGGCUUGGUCGCUUGCGUCCGACUGCUGAAACUUGAUUAAACCAUAUCAUUUAGAGGAAGGUGAAGUCGUAACA